AUUGAACGCUGGCGGUAUGCUUAACACAUGCAAGUCGAACGGUAGCAGGUCUUCGGAUGCUGACGAGUGGCGGACGGGUGAGUAACGCGUAGGAAUCUGCCUAUUAGUGGGGGACAACAUGUGGAAACGCAUGCUAAUACCGCAUACGCCCUACGGGGGAAAGGAGGGGACCUUCGGGCCUUUCGCUAAUAGAUGAGCCUGCGUUAGAUUAGCUAGUUGGUGGGGUAAAGGCCUACCAAGGCGACGAUCUAUAGCUGUUCUGAGAGGAAGAUCAGCCACACUGGGACUGAGACACGGCCCAGACUCCUACGGGAGGCAGCAGUGGGGAAUAUUGGACAAUGGGCGAAAGCCUGAUCCAGCAAUACCGCGUGUGUGAAGAAGGCCUUAGGGUUGUAAAGCACUUUCAAUAGGGAGGAAAAAGAGUAAGCUAAUACCUUGCUUAUUGACAUUACCUAUACAAGAAGCACCGGCUAACUCCGUGCCAGCAGCCGCAGUAAAAC
rnacentral:rRNA from 1 species